CGAACCCGCCAUGGGAACAGGAGGGGACCACACCAAACGCAGCUGACCAUCCAACCCCUGGGACUCAUGCGUCAGCGCACCCUACUGCCACUGGGAAAGUAGAUGACAUAAACCCGCCUAGUGCGGACACCCAGCCAGCUCAGGAAAAGGGGACUCACCUGACGGCACCCCGGCACCAAUGGGACUCACCUGAUGGCACCAGUAGAAAUCUCGUAAUUGGAUUCCAGGGCUUGCACUGCAG